GUUGUCUCAGCUGUGAGAGAUGCUUUGGCAGACAAGCUUCAGCUGGCAGCACCUUCAAGGAUGGCUUCAGCUCCACAGAACUUCCUCACCGAAGGUCAUGUCCUUCAGAGGGUAGCCCACAUCAAAUGACGGUGGAGGAGGGUAGACAACUGUCAGACCAUUUCAGCCCAACGAAGGACAACUGUAACGGGUUGUUUUAGCCCAAGCUUCCGCAUGAAGUUGGAACUGCUCCUACUGCCAGAUCCUUCUUCCUGCCUCCCCUUUCCAUGAGCGCUGAUGAGUCUUAGAGUCCAUCUCAGCGUCCUUCCUGGAGAACCCGACUCGUGAGACAUGGGUGGUUAAAAACACAUCUCUGCAUCAGUAAUGACCUAGCUUCUCCACGUACUCAAGGAGGAUCAGGAGUAUGACUACAUUUCACUGUGCAGUGCCCCAAGGUCUUUCCAAGGUGAAUGUUGGCUUGUAUGGCUAUAAAUUUCUCUCUGAAAAUCAAAGGACAACUUUGAUGCAUCCUAUAAAUUUUGAUCCACCCUGCGCUUGGGUCUCUGAAGAUUGACUUGUACAAACCACGUCAAGGACACCCAUGUGCUCAGGCUCUUGGUUGGAUUUAGUCAAUAGGGAAAUCCUUCCAAAGAUCCAUGGAAGAAGAUAUUGGAACAUUUAUUCCCUUGCUCUCUUACUUUGUCGUUGCCCAUGUCCCUCAACCAAACGAACCUUCUUCCAAGGCAGCCCUCUCCACAGCAAGCUUCCUUUCAAGGUUCCAAAACUGCUCCCUCCCCAGGCUCAUCGGAAAGGUCAGGGCUGAUGAGCACCACUCCCACCAGCCUGGGAGUUCUGGCUGUCUCGUGAUGUUUCCUUCCAUCUCGCCUACUUCAUAUUUAGUUCCUUUAUUAAACCCGCCUUCAGUUAGCCUAAUUUUAGCUUGCUGUCUGUUUCUGGCUGGUACUCUGACUGAUAAACAUACUAAGUGCAAGUCUUUGAAACUUAAUAUUUUAAUUAUCCGUAAAGAUAUCUUCAGGAAUAAAGACAUCAAAAAGAUAAAUACCCUGCUUUCCUUUUAGGAAAGCCCUAUGAAGUCAUUUAGUAGCGAAAUAAUAAAACACAUGCCAAACCUCAACACGACUAUACAUCCUCUAUCUCUCUACAGGGAAAUGUGUCUAAUUAGACAUUUAUAUUUAUAGCUACAAUGUAAUUAUAUUACCCAUAACUGUAUUUGCUGAUUUAGUAAGAUAUACCAAACCUGCCACCAUAUUAAAAAUGAUAUCAAAUUAAUAAAAUAAUUACAUUUUUCUAAUUGAAUAACAUAUAGAAAUACCUGUAGAAUAUAUACUUUCAGUAAAUGAUGUUAUACUUUGAGAAAUAAUGAAAAUCUAUUAAACAAAUAUAAAUUGAGACAUAUUAAAUAUUGCUUCUAAAUUAAAGUAAAAAGAAAGAAACAUAACUGCCUCCUGCAUUGGGGUUUUUAAGGUCACAUAAGUUUAUCUCAGUUUAAUUAGAAUUUGAGAUCCAGCUUCAGCAUAUAUUUGGUAGGUCUAAAAUUGUAUUUGCAAAAAUGAUUAAAUGAAUUUUGAGAACUAUCUUGAGAUAAUCAUCUUAAAAUUGUAUAAAAUAAGAUACAGGAAUAAGAUAUUGACAGUUGGAUAAGGAACGCUAUUUUAUUUUAAAAGAACGAGGGAUAAAUUGAGUUCUAAGGACAAAUGAAAGCAACAGAGAGAGGGAGGGAAUCAAAGACGACAUAAUGGGGGUAAAUAGUGUCUGAAAAUAAAUUAUGAGCAUCCUAGUAAUUAUGGAGCCUCUUAAUCAUAUAGAAUAAUUAGGAACUAUAAAGCUUGAGAAAAAUCUAAGUCCAGCAGAGUUCAGAAAACCGAUCACCACUUUAUAUUUUGGAGAUUUCCUGGAUGCUGCUUGUAUUUCAUUUCACAGAUUGUAGAUUUCUGGACUGGGCAAUGCAUGCUUGAAUUUUACUGAUAAAAAUAGGCAUUGGUUGAAAAGGAUCAAAAUGCUAAAGUUUCUCUUCACAUCCUGAGCCAUCGUUAAUGAUUUUUCUCUGGCAUUCUUCACGAUGGAUUCCCACUUCCCUUUUGGCAGUGUCUGUGGUAGACCUCUAAUUACAGCUAUUCAAAAGCACGUGUAACUCUUUUCCAAGGUGGAAGGUUCCUUAUGGCAAACACCUAACUCAAUUAUCUCUGCCUGGCCCGUAUUAAGAACAUGCUUUGCCAGAAAAGGCACUCCAGAAGUUAUUAAAUUGAAACAGCAUGUUGCUAAAAGAGUAAAAGUAAUCAUGGAAGGAAGAUAUCAAAUCUAUUAUUUUUGGAAUAUUUCCCCAUUCAGUUUUAAUAUUCCCUAUCACUUGCCAGAAAGAGAACUGACCUACAG
ensembl:lncRNA